rnacentral:rRNA from 1 species
GAUGAACGCUGGCGGCGUGCCUAAUACAUGCAAGUCGAGCGAACAGACGAGGAGCUUGCUCCUCUGACGUUAGCGGCGGACGGGUGAGUAACACGUGGAUAACCUACCUAUAAGACUGGGAUAACUUCGGGAAACCGGAGCUAAUACCGGAUAAUAUAUUGAACCGCAUGGUUCAAUAGUGAAAGACGGUUUUGCUGUCACUUAUAGAUGGAUCCGCGCCGCAUUAGCUAGUUGGUAAGGUAACGGCUUACCAAGGCAACGAUGCGUAGCCGACCUGAGAGGGUGAUCGGUCACACUGGAACUGAGACACGGUCCAGACUCCUACGGGAGGCAGCAGUAGGGAAUCUUCCGCAAUGGGCGAAAGCCUGACGGAGCAACGCCGCGUGAGUGAUGAAGGCCUUCGGAUCGUAAAACUCUGUUAUUAGGGAAGAACAAAUGUGUAAGUAACUAUGCACGUCUUGACGGUACCUAAUCAGAAAGCCACGGCUAACUACGUG